UGUAUGCAUUGCUCUGCUAACGGGGUAAGAUCCGAGGCUUCUGUGGGGGCUCUCCUACCUAUAGGCUCUCCUACCCAUCUCCUAUUCCGUCAUGUCCUCGUCGUGCAGAGUGGUAACUUGCCCCACCGCAUAUCCAAGCUUGGGUACACGGGUUAUUCCCAACCCCUUGGGCAUGGCUAAACAGGAGGGG
rnacentral:ribozyme from 1 species